CCCCUGUUGAGCUCCCUCCUGCGUAGGAUGCCAGACCUGGAGACGCUGGAGAUUGUGAAGUUGGUCAACUGCCCCGAGACCUUCGCGCCAGACAUGAGGUGCAUCAUGGGCGAGUCCCCUUUGGUUAAGGGCUACUACGUCCUGGCAGGAAUGAACUCUGCUGGCCUUUCGUUUGGUGGAGGAGCUGGAAGAGGCGCUUUGAACAUGGGGAGAGUGGACCGGAGAGGAGGUGUGAGCUGUGCUGCUGGAGAACCCCUCACUGAGACGGGCUGGGCAGCCUCUCCCCACACCCGCCCGUUCUGGGGAAGGAGGGGUGAGCGGGCGAUGGGACCUCAGCCUGAAAUGGCGUUACCUUGGCCUCCCCCCGCCGGGGGACACUCUGGAGUGUAAGGCACGAGAACUGGCGGGAGGAAAGAUGUGCUCCAAGCCCCAGUUCUUGGUGUGCAAGGGGAUUCCUGGCUGAGAGCUUGCGAAACAGGUGCUAAAGAUAUCCUUCCACCGCUUGUAAUUUCUGUCCUUGAGAGACAGACAAGAGCAGGCAGAAAAGGACUGCAAAGGAUGAAAAUAGCUGCGUCUAAAUACCAUGGGGAAAAUGGCCCGUGAGAAAUGUGUAAUUCUCCAAGGACAUUGUUCAGAGAAGCCAAGAAUCAUAUUAUGAAGAAACAACCCUGGUGUGUAGUGGACAAAGAGAAGGCAAACACAUACAAAAAUAGUCCUCUUGGAAAAUAGUGCAUUUGUUAGUGAUGAGGGACUGCACAUGUGAGCCCCACACUGACGAUGAAGGAGCCUUACAACUCAGCACCUUACAGUGGAGGCGGGGGGUGGUGCGGGGGUGCUGACUUAUAGAACUACAGCUUACAACUUAAAAUUCGACAAGAUCGGGCGCGUUCAGGGUGGUAUGGCCAUAGUACAACUUACAAUUGGAUGUCCUAGUUGAUUCGGGGAACAUCUUACUGUCUCACCUACCAUUUCUUCCACUCAACUGUGCUGCUCCUGACCCAUGUGCCUAGACAUGCUGUGAGAUGAAAAUUCUUUCCUCACAAGGAAAUUGCCCCUAUAUCGUGCUGAUAAAAUGCUGCUAAUGUCAGUUUGUAAGGGACCGGGCUAAGGGGCUAUUCUUUAGUAGUAAGCCUUAGAUACUAAGGAGGAUCCUUGCUGCCUACACUGCACAGGAGCCAGAGAUAAAAAUGAACCUGGCAGCUAACCCCUGAAAGCAGGCCAGUGAGCUCUCCUACUGGACACAGCCUUCCAGGUCAGAACCAGGACCACAGGUCGCAGAAGAGCCCCCCUUACCUGCCUCAGGGUCUAAAAGGAUGGUGAGGACAGAUUUCAGCAAGUGUCCGUGAGUCAGAAAUCAGGGCAGCGAGUCGUCUCUGUCACUGUGCUCCACUCCUGCAGAAAUGGGAUCUUUGGGCCAAAGGGAAGCAGGUUGACCACUGGGCUAAGUGGUCUUUGGCCCUAGCCUGAAUGGCAUUGCCCAGAGUUGGGGGUUCAGGGACUCCCCAGGAGAGCACGAGCACUGUGGUGGGAGUUGUCCCUUUGUGUCUCCAGCAGCAUGUCCUGCUCAUGCUCAUGCAGGUGGGACUACGUCACAAGGUAAAGGGCAUCAAACAGGUUAUCCAGCAGGUACAUUUGUCCCUUUUUCUUAAAACUCUGAAUUAGACUUCAGUGACAGAAUCACAGAUGGGAACCUUUCUGAUAACACGCUUUAAGUCAACCACCGUGGCCGUGCCAAAACCGGAGGCCUUAGAAGCUGUCUCAAGGGAGGAGGCACACAGGAGGCUUGCAACCCCGGGUCUCCCUCUGUUUGAGGCUGACACACCUGUGUUUCAGGUUAAAGUUCCCUCAGCGGAACAUGCUGACAGAGGAGAGUGCAGAGCCCCCCCAGAGGCUCAGAGGAGAAAAGUGCCAACCAUCUUAAAGUCCAUCCACCCCCUCACAGGAGCCCGGAACCCCUGGAAUCCCUAGAGGUGAGUUGUCACACACACACUUGGGGCCCCCCUGCCCCAGAGAUGGAAAUGACACAAAUGAGGUGUGAUUGUCAGUUGUGCUAGAGGUGGGAGUCAGUCAACCCCUUCAGAUUUAGGACCAAAUGGAGAAAACUACCAAAUUCACACUGCCUGCAUUUGAACAGAGGCUUCAAGGAUGGACUGUGAAGUGCC